AUGGCGAACGAGGUAGUAACACGUAGGUACGUACCCUUUAGUUGGGCAUAACUAGCCGAAAGGUUAGAUAAUUCCCAAUGGUCUCGCAAGAGUAAAGAUUUAUUGCUAAAGGAACGGCCUGCGACCUAUCAGCUAGUUGGUGAGGUAAUAGCUCACCAAGGCUAUGACGGGUAGGGGGAGUGAGAGCUCGAUCCCCACCGAUGGAACUGAGAAACGGUCCAUACUCC
rnacentral:rRNA from 1 species